CCUACGGGAGGCAGCAGGGAGGAAUAUUGGACAAUGGACGAAAGGCUGAACGAGCGAGGCCGCGUGCAGGAAGAAGGCUCGAUGAGUGGUAAACUGCUAUUGUAAGAGGGUAAACGCAGAUACGCGUAUCUGUCUGAAAGUAUCGUACGAAUAAGGAUCGGCUAACUCCGUGCCAGCAGCCGCGGUAAUACGGAGGAUUCAAGCGUUAUCCGGAUUUAUUGGGUUUAAAGGGUGCGUAGGCGGUCGGAUAAGUUAGAGGUGAAAUCCCGAGGCGCAACUUCGGAAUUGCCUCUGUUACUGUCUGCCUAGAGUGUAGUUGCGGCCGGCGGAAUGUUUGGUGUAGCGGU
rnacentral:rRNA from 1 species